UGCUGUGAACUCGAAGAGUAGGGCGGGACACGUGGUAUCCUGUCUGAAUAUGGGGGGACCAUCCUCCAAGGCUAAAUACUCCUGACUGACCGAUAGUGAACCAGUACCGUGAGGGAAAGGCGAAAAGAACCCCGGCGAGGGGAGUGAAAAAGAACCUGAAACCGUGUACGUACAAGCAGUGGGAGCCUACUUGUUAGGUGACUGCGUACCUUUUGUAUAAUGGGUCAGCGACUUAUAUUCUGUAGCAAGGUUAACCGUAUAGGGGAGCCGAAGGGAAACCGAGUCUUAACUGGGCGUUAAGUUGCAGGGUAUAGACCCGAAACCCGGUGAUCUAGCCAUGGGCAGGUUGAAGGUUGGGUAACACUAACUGGAGGACCGAACCGACUAAUGUUGAAAAAUUAGCGGAUGACUUGUGGCUGGGGGUGAAAGGCCAAUCAAACCGGGAGAUAGCUGGUUCUCCCCGAAAGCUAUUUAGGUAGCGCCUCGUGAACUCAUCUUCGGGGGUAGAGCACUGUUUCGGCUAGGGGGCCAUCCCGGCUUACCAACCCGAUGCAAACUACGAAUACCGAAGAAUGUUAUCACGGGAGACACACGGCGGGUGCUAACGUCCGUCGUGAAGAGGGAAACAACCCAGACCGCCAGCUAAGGUCCCAAAGUCAUGGUUAAGUGGGAAACGAUGUGGGAAGGCACAGACAGCCAGGAUGUUGGCUUAGAAGCAGCCAUCAUUUAAAGAAAGCGUAAUAGCUCACUGGUCGAGUCGGCCUGCGCGGAAGAUGUAACGGGGCUAAACCAUGCACCGAAGCUGCGGCAGCGACGCUUAUGCGUUGUUGGGUAGGGGAGCGUUCUGUAAGCCGUUGAAGGUG
rnacentral:rRNA from 1 species